rnacentral:rRNA from 1 species
CUGACCUAUCAACUCGAGACGGCGGGGUAGAGGCCCGCCGCGGUAACGACGGGUAACGGGGAAGUCAGGGUUCGAUUCCGGAGAGGGAGCCCGAGAAACGGCUACCACUUCCAAGGAAGGCAGCAGGCGCGCAACUUACCCUAAUCUCGAUUCGAGGAGGUAGUGACAAGAAAUACCGAUGCGGGACCCUACGGGUGCCGCGUUCGGAAUGAGUACGAUUCGAACCACCUAACGAGGAACGAUCGGAGGGCAAGUCUGGUGCCAGCAGCCGCGGUAAUUCCAGCUCCAAUAGCGUACGUUAAAGUUGCUGCAGUUAAAAAGCUCGUAGUUGAACGUUCGGGUUCCGCGGGACGGGGCCGCCCCGCGAGGGACGGCGCCGCCCCGGGGCUCGUGAUAUCUCAUCUCGCCGCCCCGUCGCGAGGCGGACGGAGGGAUGGAUGAGGUUACCUGGAAAAAAAUCGGGGCGAUCUAGGC